UCACCCCUCAAGCCCCCGGCUUGGUGUUGGACGGCCUGGUCGAGCCUCUCUUGUAGGCGCGACCCCUCCUAAAGACAAUGACGGCGGCCUCGUGGAACCCCCGGUACACUGAGCUUCUUAACUGAGCACGUACUGGAUCUAGGGUGCCCGGGACCCGGUCCUCUCCCUCUCGCAGGGAAAACCUCCUUUCAA
rnacentral:misc_RNA from 1 species